rnacentral:rRNA from 1 species
AUUGAACGCUGGCGGCAUGCCUUACACAUGCAAGUCGAACGGCAGCGGACCUUCGGGUACCGGCGGGUGGCGAACGGGUGAGUAAUAUAUCGGAACGUACCUUUCAGUGGGGGAGUAACGUAGCGAAAGUUACGCUAAUACCGCGUAAGCCCUCGAGGGGGAAAGGUAGGGGACCGGCGAAGGCCUCACGCGAAUGGAGCGGCCGAUGUCAGAUUAGCUAGUUGGUGGGGUAAAGGCUCACCAAGGCGACGAUCUGUAGCGGGUCUGAGAGGAUGAUCCGCCACACUGGGACUGAGACACGGCCCAGACUCCUACGGGAGGCAGCAGUGGGGAAUUUUGGACAAUGGGCGAAAGCCUGAUCCAGCCAUGCCGCGUGAGUGAAGAAGGCCU